UAGGGAAUCUUCGGCAAUGGGGGGAACCCUGACCGAGCAACGCCGCGUGAGUGAAGAAGGUUUUCGGAUCGUAAAGCUCUGUUGUUAAGGAAGAACGAGUGUGAGAAUGGAAAGUUCAUGCUGUGACGGUACUUAACCAGAAAGGGACGGCUAACUACGUGCCAGCAGCCGCGGUAAUACGUAGGUCCCGAGCGUUGUCCGGAUUUAUUGGGCGUAAAGCGAGCGCAGGCGGUUAGAUAAGUCUGAAGUUAAAGGCAGUGGCUCAACCAUUGUAGGCUUUGGAAACUGUUUAACUUGAGUGCAGAAGGGGGGGGUGGAAUUCCAUGUGUAGCGGUGAAAUGCGUAGAUAUAUGGAGGAACACCGGUGGCGAAAGCGGCUCUCUGGUCUGUAACUGACGCUGAGGCUCGAAAGCGUGGGGAGCGAACAGG
rnacentral:rRNA from 1 species